rnacentral:rRNA from 1 species
AGCAGUCGGAACGUAUCCAAGAGUGGGGAUAGGCCGGCGAAAGCCGGGUUAAUACCGCAUACGCCCUGAGGGGGAAAGGUGGGGGACCGCAAGGCCUCACGCUGAUGGAGCGGCCGAUGUCGGAUUAGCUAGUUGGUGAGGUAAAGGCUUACCAAGGCGACGAUCCGUAGCUGGUUUGAGAGAACGACCAGCCACACUGGGACUGAGACACGGCCCAGACUCCUACGGGAGGCAGCAGUGGGGAAUAUUGCACAAUGGGGGAAACCCUGAUGCAGCCAUGCCGCGUGUGUGAAGAAGGGC